ensembl:rRNA 5S_rRNA 5S ribosomal RNA
GUCUACGACCAUACCACCCUGAACAAGCCUGAUCCUGUCUGAUCUCGAAAGCUAAGCAGAGUCGGGCCUGGUUAGUACUUGGAUGGAAGAUCACCUAGGAAGACCAGGUGCUGUGAGUG